UUUUAAUGAAGUUCAAAAGAAGAGAUGUUUAUUUAUGGAUUAAAGUACACAAAGAUCUGCUGCUCACACUUUCUGAAAUACUGACAGCUUUUUUUCCUUUUUUUUUAAGAGAGAAAGAGAGAGAGAGUGCAAGGGAAGGGAAGACUUCACAUCUUGUAUAUAGUUGUGGUGAGUAGAUCAAUGUUCCCAGAAGACAGGCAGAAAGCUCCUGGGUCUUUUGACACUAGCUGAGAACAGAUGAUAUACAACUGAAGUCUGAAGACAAAGUUGCCUCUAAGAGGUUGCCUCUGGUGAAAGGGUGGAGAUGUGCUGAUAGCCCAUCACAGCUGCACGGGUAAGUCUCAACAUGUUUUGAGAAAGGCUGCAUAUUUCUCUGUUUGGGACUCAGCUUUGCUACUGUUCCAAUCGUUUUAAUAUUCUUAAAAUAAUUCCAAAAAAAGAGGUGUAAUCCAAAUUAGAAGACAAUCUUGGAGAAAUUUAUUUUCUAUUUAUUAGGUUCUUAAGAGAAAAGAGCAUAAUUACAUAUCUAAAAUUAGACCCUCUAUUGAAGACCUAAAUAUAAACAACUGGAAAAGAAGAUGUGAAGUCCUCAGACUGACAUGUUAAUAUAAAAGUACCAUGAAAAAAAAAAAAAAUGGAGAGAAAAAUCCAGCUCUUUGAUAAAAUUCCCAAAACACCCUUCCCCGCUUCAGGAAUUUGCAACCACUGUCUAUUGAAUGAGAGUUAUUGAGUGAGAUGGUCUUCAAAUUAUCCAUUAACUGAUGGUGUGCAGAAAUAUCUCUAGAGGAAAUAUUGGUCUUCCCAAAACACAGAUUCAGCCUGCUUGGAGUCAGAUUUUGGGAAAGAAAACACUAACACCACUAGAAAACUGUGGCUGUGCAUGGCCUUUACAGUACUCCACUGGAUCAACAAGAAUCCAGGUUUGCACAGGCUCCAGCAGGUUAACUAAUGCAAGAAAUACUGACUGGUUUUUAAAAAAAUAAUGAAGUUUUUCUUGGAUUUCUCUGUUCAGGCUGGCUGGCUGCAUAAUUUACUUUUGGGAGGGGCAUAAAGGGGAAAAAGAAACUAUGACAGGCAGGUAAUCCUUACUGCCUGAGAACCACUGCUAACGCUACAUGUUUUCAGACCAUCUAAAUAUGCAAAAAGUUAGUAACUCUUCCCAUUAUUAUAGUUCAAAUGUCUAUGGAUUCAACCACAGGAAAACAGUAAAUCCAGAGUUAGGCUUUAGCUUAUACUAUAUGGAAGAGAAAGAAAAAAAAAGAAAAAGAGAGA
rnacentral:lncRNA from 1 species